GGGGAAUGCUGGGAAAGACUCCUGCUGCUUCCUACUAGACGUGAGGCUUGCACUGCUCCCGCCAUGGAGCUCAGAUCAUGCCCUGGAGAAGCAGGUGACAUCGCGGAAUUUUCCUGGUGAGAGCAGGCAAGAGGAGGAGCCCCUCCAUCCUCCCACCUGGGUCUGGGGCUCAGAAUCUUCCCUGCUUUCUUGUUGAGUGGCUGGAAACUCCGGGAGUUGUGGCAGGCCAGGAGGCCGGCUUAUCCCCAGGAGGGGGCUUUGGAGGCUAGAUUCAUAUCCUAGGGCUGUUCUAACAAAAAUGAUCAAAAACCAGGUGGCUUAGAACAACAAUAAUUCAUUCUCUUGCAGUUCCAGAUGCCAGAAGUCUGAAAUGAAGGUGUAAAGCAGGGUGGUUCCUUCUGGAGGCUCUGAGAGAAUCACCCCAGGCCUCUCUCCAGCUUCUGGUGCUGGUAUUCUCAGGCUUGUAGGCGCAUCACCCAUGUCUGCCUCCAUCUUCACAUGGCCUUCUCCUCUGUGUCUGCCUGAAGUCUCCCUUCAUUUCUCUUGUAAGGACAUCAGUCAUUGGAUUUAGAGCCCACCCUAAACCCAGAAUGAUCUCAUCUCAAGAUUACAUCUGCACAGACGCUAUUUCCAGAUAAGGUCACAGUCAAAGGUACCAGGGGUUAGGAUAUGAACAUAUCUUUUUGAAAGACACGAUUUAACCUACAGCAGGUGCUCAGGGCAGUUGGGUGGGGGCCUGUGCUAGGGGCCCAACAGCCAAGGCUUAAAGCCGCACUCCACACCUAGGCCUGUGACACCUCCCACAAGCUUCUUCACCUCUCAAGCCUCAACUUCUACUUCUGCAAACAGGGAACAAUAAAAGUAUCUCCCUGCCCCCACCUUGCAGGGUUUCCAGUUCCAAUGUCUACACACUCACCUGGGAGUUAUCUGAAAUUGUUGUUCACCUGCUUAAACCUUUUGAGUUUCCAGCACCCCCCAGAAGUCCCCACCCUCUAGUCCCUUAGCAAGAUACUGGCCCUGCGUGAGCUUCCCACCUUCCUUGACAGCUGCAUCUCUCAUCAUUAGGACCUGGGCAACACUGCAGAAUAUGGCAGGUCUUCCCUCAUCUCUGUGCUUUGCCUCCAUUCCCUGACUUCUCUCCCAUCCUCCUCCUGUCACCUGGCCUCUCCCCAUCCUACUGGCCUUAAAGCUCAGCUCCUGAAGCCUCCCUGAUGCUCCUCCCUUCAUAGCCCCUCCCAGCCUGGCCACGUGGGCUCGGGCAGCCCAGAGCCUGGGCCUCCUGGUCACACUCUGAGCACACAGCCCAUUUUCUCUCCAGUGCUGGCUUGUGUUUGACACCAUGCCUGACACAUUGGGGGUGCUCAGUAGACCUGUGUGAGAUGGACAGCCUCCCGUACAGAUGGACGGACAGAUGUACAGGUAGGUGAAUGAACUUUCGUUGCCCCUAAAGCAGGAGAGACUCUGAGUUUCUGAGACAACGGCCAAGAACUUUCUGAUAAGAUCUCUGCAUUUAAGGUUCAGAAAAACUCGAUGAGGACAAUAUUUUUCUCCCGAUUUUGCAGAUAAGAAAAUAGAGGCAUAGAGAAGUCACUUGCUAGUAAAUGUUAGAGGCAGCUUUCUAACCCAGGUCCAUGUGAACCCAGAAAAAGAGGCAGUGAGCACCUGUUCACCCAGGAGCAGCUCUCAGAAGAUAAGAUAAUACGAGGAGGAGGCAGCAGACCCCUAUGCCACGCGUCCACCUGGGGCUGUCCAUCACUUCCUGCAAGAUCUUGCUGGUAGCCAGAUUCUCAGAGACCCCCAGUGAGCCCCGCCUCCUGGUUUUCACACCCUGUGUAGUUUCCUUUCCCCAGGGAUGGUCCAAGUGACCAGCAGCCCGUGGCAGAAGUGAUGGAAUAGCACUUCCAAGCUUAGGUUAUGAAAGAUUGCAGCUUCAAUCUCCUGCCCCACACCCCGUCUCUCUCUCUAACCCCACUCCCUCCCUCCCUCUCUCAUCUCUGACUCUGGGGGAAGCACACUGCAGCCCCGUGGAGAUGCCCUGUGUAAGCCACUGAAGCCUCUGGCCAACAGCAGUGGGAACCUGAGACGUGUCCACAAGCAUGCAUGGGAGCUUGGAAGUGGAUCCUUCAGCCCCAGCCAAGCCUUCAGACGAUGCAGCCUCAGGGACAGUAUGACUGCAGCCUCAUGAGACCCUGAGCCAGAAACACCCCUCCAAGCCACUCCCAGAUGCCUGGCCCUCAGAACCUGGGAGGUAAUAAAUAUUUAUGGCUGUUUGAAGCUGCUGUAUCGGGGGACAAUUUGUUACACAGUAAUAGCUAACUGGUGCAGUCCUGGGACUCUUAGCAGUUUGGAGUAUCAGUUAUUUUGCCAAGGCGGGGAAGUUAACAGUGGUCAUUGCAGCAGCUGCACUUGGGGACCACAAUAAAGAAGCUUUCUCAGACUGGUUUGAACAAAGUGGUGAAUUCUCUGCAAGGACACAGAGGUGUCUCUCAAAACCCAAGGAUGGGACAGCAGGCCUCAAGAAGAACUGGAACCUCUGUCCCUUCUGUGCUUCUUUUUACUCCUGUGUUCUCUGCUUCUUGGAGCACUUGGCAGUUGGGAAGUGGCCAUUUCAAUUCUCGUGGUCAAGAAACCAGCUCAGAAAUAACCCAACCAACACAGGUGGGGUCAGGUGUCCAUCCUGGCUCCAUUUGUCAUGGCGGGAGAUGGUGAUGAAGAGAAACAUCCAGGACCAUUGGUAGGGCACCCGAAUGAGAUUCCAGGAGAGGCCAGUUCUAAGAGAAGGGUACUAGAAAGAUACCCAUUGAAGUCAAUACCACAUGUGGCACAUCCUCCUUUCAGGUGGCAAGUGUGUAGCCAAAGCAAGGUUCAGGGUCCAUAUUUGAAAGUCAGAAACUGAAUAAACUGUUUUCUCCCACCCCGAGCACUGUGGGGAACUCUGCUCACAAAUCCACCAUCCACCAUCACCAGCCGUGCUCAUCUGACCAUUCAUGCAGGCUCACACUUGACCUGAUGUGGGUUCUGUCUCCUUUGCUUGAGAAUUGAAAGGCCUGGGAGAUGCAAAAGCUUUAGGCUCCAGCCAUCUCCCCAUGUCAGGUAGGCCUUUUGCCUAGUGUAUCCAGUUGGUAAUGCUGCAGAGAUGCAUGAAGCUGGAGUCAGAGGCCACCUGUAGUGCUGCCCUGACUUCAGACCUGAGCCCAGCCCAGCAGCAGAGAGGGGGCUGGGAGCCAGAGGAGGCCUCACAGUAACAGCACAGACAGGUGGGGGCCCACAACAGGCCACAUGUGUUCAAACUCGAGUGUGGGCAGAGGAGCAUGGGAAGCUCAGAGCCCUGAGCUCACCCCACACCCAACACGAGUGGGGUCACCCAAAAUCAGCCUGUCAGCACUGUCCCAGCAGCCAGUCGCAUGCUACAUUAACAAAUUUUGCACAGGCCAGCAAGCAGGAUCGCUCACCAGCCACCCUCCUGAACUGGCCUAUGGGGCCCCAGGAUGAUGCCAUAGCCACAAGUCUGGAGUUCCUCAAAGUACCUGGUCAGCACAACUCAGUUAAACAAUGGGCAAAAGACCUGAACAGACACUUCGCCAGAGAAGAUGUACAGAUGCAAGUAAGCAUUUGAAAAGGUGCCCCACAUCGUAUGUCGUUAGGGAAUGGUCCAAUCCAGAACACUGAUGGCACCAAAGGCUGCUGAGCAUGUGGAGCAGCAGAACUCUCAUUCACUGCUGGUGAGAAAAAUGGCGCAGCCCCAAUAGGGAACCCUAAUGCAGACUCUGGACUUCACUGGAAAUGACGUGUCAGUGUAGCUGCGUCAGUUGUAACAAAUGCACCAGUCUGGUGGGCGUGUUGAUAACCGGGGCUGCGCACGUGGGGAGAGAGGACCUGUGGGAAUGCUCUACUUUCCACUCAUUUUUGCUGUGAACUUAAAACUGCUCUUACAAAAUAACAUUGUUUGUUGUUGUUGUUGUUGUUGUUGUUGUUGUUGUUUUUAAGUAUCUAGUCAGCUCCACACAUGACCCGGGCAGAGUGGGAAGUUGUAGAGUGCCCCAAGGAGAGAAAUGGAACCAGGUCUCAUGUGGGGCCAAGUGUGGGCUCCCUGUCCUCUCAGCUGGUCCCAGGAACUGAAGGGAAAUUUAGACAACUUGGAGAAAGACACUCUAGGGCUCGGGGCAAAGGGUGGUGUUGAUGAGAACCAUAUUUUUUUAUUGCUGGUGUAAGCACUUGUAUUUUUCUGAUUUUCCACUGGUUCGAUAAUAAGGGUAAAAGACAAUAAAGCAUACUUUUUAAGCUUUUGUUUAGAAGUUUUUUUUCCAAUAAAACUUCCCCAAAA
rnacentral:lncRNA from 10 species